rnacentral:sRNA from 1 species
AGAGAGAGGGGCUGAGAAGCUGUGGCAGGACAAGAUGGCAGAAAGGAAGUUGUUCCACAUUUUUCUACACUGGAGAUUACCCCCAAGUAUGAUGUAGUCCUCCUGCCUCUGCUGCACAGGCGCAUAGCACCACGUCCAAAUAGAGGUGUGUGUCAGAACUCAGGCGUUCUGGCACAGACGGGCGAAUCCACUGAUGGACACACAGCAUAACAACUAAGGGGAGUGGAGGCAACUGGCCUAAUUACGACAGGAGCCUACCCAGCAGCUGACUGAGGC